CCGUUAGCUCCGUUAUCACGCUGCUGCAGGUUGUGAUAUUAUCUUAUUACUGCGUUACUGUCUGUAGUUACUGUCUGUAGUUACUGUCUGUAGUUACUGUCUGUCAGGUUGUUGUAGUUACUGUCUGUAGUUACUGUCUGUAGUUACUGUCUGUCAGGUUGUUGUAGUUACUGUCUGUCAGGUUGUUGUAGUUACUGUCUGUAGUUACUGUCUGUAGUUACUGUCUGUCAGGUUGUUGUAGUUACUGUCUGUAGUUACUGUCUGUCAGGUUGUUGUAGUUACUGUCUGUAGUUACUGUCUGUCAGGUUGUUGUAGUUACUGUCUGUAGUUACUGUCUGUAGUUACUGUCUGUCAGGUUGUUGUAGUUACUGUCUGUAGUUACUGUCUGUAGUUACUGUCUGUCAGGUUGUUGUAGUUACUGUCUGUAGUUACUGUCUGUAGUUACUGUCUGUCAGGUUGUUGUAGUUACUGUCUGUAGUUACUGUCUGUCAGGUUGAUGUAGUUACUGUCUGUAGUUACUGUCUGUCAGGUUGUUGUAGUUACUGUCUGUAGUUACUGUCUGUCAGGUUGAUGUAGUUACUGUCUGUAGUUACUGUCUGUCAGGUUGUUGUAGUUACUGUCUGUAGUUACUGUCUGUCAGGUUGAUGUAGUUACUGUCUGUAGUUACUGUCUGUCAGGUUGAUGUAGUUACUGUCUGUAGUUACUGUCUGUAGUUACUGUCUGUCAGGUUGAUGUAGUUACUGUCUGUAGUUACUGUCUGUAGUUACUGUCUGUCAGGUUGUUAAUGAACAAUAAAGCUCUCAGAGACAGUGUGACAGCUGUCUGUGUCACUGUCAUCUAAUUCAUUAUCUUUGGUUUUUAAACCGUUUAAAACUUCACAUUGUUUGUUUGUUUAUUUAGGAACAUUUUAAAUGAGUGUAUGAGGAGCAAGAAAUAUGGGAGUAUACUGAAAGACAUGCACAUAUAUCCUUAAUAUCUUCAGUUUCUUUAUUAAAAUCUGCUCAGACUGUAAAAAUGUUUGAUGGAUAUGUGAAUUUAUUUCAAAUAAAAUGAGAAUUAGAAAAAAAAAACACCCAAAAAUGAUGAAAUUGGGGAAUUGUG